GAUGAACGCUGGCGGCGUGCUUAACACAUGCAAGUCGAACGGUGAACACGGAGCUUGCUCUGUGGGAUCAGUGGCGAACGGGUGAGUAACACGUGAGCAACCUGCCCCUGACUCUGGGAUAAGCGCUGGAAACGGCGUCUAAUACUGGAUAUGUGACGUGACCGCAUGGUCUGCGUUUGGAAAGAUUUUUCGGUUGGGGAUGGGCUCGCGGCCUAUCAGCUUGUUGGUGAGGUAAUGGCUCACCAAGGCGUCGACGGGUAGCCGGCCUGAUAGGGUGACCGGCCACACUGGGACUGAGACACGGCCCAGACUCCUACGGGAGGCAGCAGUGGGGAAUAUUGCACAAUGGACGCAAGCCUGAUGCAGCAACGCCGCGUGAGGGAUGACGGCCUUCGGGUUGUAAACCUCUUUUAGCAGGGAAGAAGCGAAAGUGACGGUACCUGCAGAAAAAGCGCCGGCUAACUACGUG
rnacentral:rRNA from 1 species